CUUCCUGUUGCUCCUCCACGUCUCUCUGGAGCUUCUUCCUGCUGUUCUCCAGUCUCUCGAUCUCCUCCUCGGCCUCGUCCAGCUGACGCUUCAAUGUUUUCAGACGCAGAGCGAGCUGAACACACACACGACAGUUGUUUUGAGGAUGGGUGAGAGCAUCACCUGAUCUCUCUGGUCCUGUAGAGACAUCUGCUCUUCCUCCAGAAGUCUCUCCUCCAGUUGUUGAAUGCGCAGCUGCAGUUUGGACAUGAGCGCGUCCUGUCCCGUCCGCUGCGACACACGGCUCCGCAAAUCUUUAUUCUACAGUAACAGUAACAAAUCAAUACAAGAAACACCAGUGAUGC